GUGGGGAAUCUUCCACAAUGGACGAAAGUCUGAUGGAGCAACGCCGCGUGAGUGAAGAAGGGUUUCGGCUCGUAAAGCUCUGUUGUCGGGGACGAAUGUGCAGUAUUUGAACAAAGUACUGCAAUGACGGUACCUGACGAGGAAGCCACGGCUAACUACGUGCCAGCAGCCGCGGUAAUACGUAGGUGGCAAGCGUUGUCCGGAAUUAUUGGGCGUAAAGGGAGCGCAGGCGGGAAGGUAAGUCGGUCUUAAAAGUGCGGGGCUCAACCCCGUGAUGGGAUCGAAACUAUCUUUCUUGAGUGCAGGAGAGGAAAGUGGAAUUCCUAGUGUAGCGGUGAAAUGCGUAGAUAUUAGGAGGAACACCAGUGGCGAAGGCGACUUUCUGGACUGUAACUGACGCUGAGGCUCGAAAGCCAGGGGAGCGAACGGGAUUAGAUACCCCUGUAGUCC
rnacentral:rRNA from 1 species